rnacentral:tRNA from 1 species
GCGACAUUAGCUCAGUUGACUCUUUGUAUAGAGCAAAAGGGCGAUACCUUGCCAAGGUAUAGGUCAAGUUUUUAGAUUUACCGAUUCGAAUCCGAUAUGUCGCUCCA